rnacentral:rRNA from 1 species
UAAGUGGAUAGUGAAAUCUGGUGGCUCAACCAUUCAGACUAUUAUCUAAACUAUCUGGCUCGAGACUGUUAUGGGUAACUGGAAUUUCUAGUGUAGGAGUGAAACUCGUAGAUAUUAGAAGGAACACCAAUAGCGUAGGCAGGUUACUGGAACAGUUCUGACACUAAGGCACGAAAGCGUAGGGAGCAAACGGGAUUAGAUACCCCGGUAGUCUACGCCGUAAACGAUGGAUACUA